AUAGUAAGAAGAUAUUGGUUGUACUGAUUAUUUCUAUAGUAAGAGCUUUUGAUUAGACUAAGUGACGAGUCACUUUAUGUGAUGAAUUUAAGCCCUUGAUACUUGGAUUACUAUCAAUAUGGUGAUCAUUUCCUUUAUUGAGUCAUUUUAGUUAGAUUUUAGAAUUAUUGAGUCAAGCACACUAGGCGCUAUGUUUUGUGGAUAGGAGAGGAUAGUUGUCACCUCCCAUUUCUUUGGGCUAUACUUGCAGGACAAGUCAGCUUAGCCCAAUUACCAUGAGAGUUGCUAUAUAAGGAUUCAUAAACCUAAAGCUCAGAGGUUGCUAUAUAAGGAUUCAUAAACCUAAAGCUCGGAGGUACAACAAUGAAGAUCAUUAGCUAUUGAAAGAUAACUCUUGGUUGGGGGCGAUUUCUUAGGUUUAUAUUUCUUAUCUCUAUUUGAUGUGUAAACUUAAUUAUAUCU
rnacentral:lncRNA from 1 species